rnacentral:tRNA from 1 species
UGUCUCAGUGGUAGAGUGCGUGCCUAGCAUGCAUGAGGUCCUGGGUUCAGUCCCCAG